GCUUCCCUUUGAUUUAAACACGCCAUGAUCGGUCUGCAGAGGUCAAAAUAAAAUUAUGAAAAACAGAAGGACUUGCCUAGAUUUACAAGUAUAAGUUCAGAAAUGUUUGAAUGAUAUAAAGGGAACAGUAACAAUGUUUAUCAGCAUCAAGCAAACUAUGCAGGUCUUGCUGUCUAGGUCGUCAAACUGGUUGUGCAUUGACAACUCAAACCCUCACAUGCGAGUACCAGUUUUGGGGAUGUUAACAGAGAAGAAGUGAGCAGUAUGUUGAUGGAUGACCUGUGCUUCAUUAGACUGCCUGAAUAACUUCUACUUUCUGGUAUUUAAACUUAAAGAUUACUCUAUUUUAUUCAU